GGUAGCUUGGCCGAGUGGUCUAAGGCGAUGGAUUCAAGUCCCAUUACCGAAAGGUGCCUGGGUUCGAACCCCAGAGCUACCA
rfam:Tritrichomonas foetus strain K scaffold_419, whole genome shotgun sequence.